UUCUUUCCUUGUGGAGUCCGAAGCGUGGCCACGCCCCGGUCACCGGAAAAAUCCGUGUGACGUCACAAAAACCUACGCGUCGCGCGGUGGGCGGGAGUUGGCGGACGGUCCCUGGCUGGGUUCUGGAGGCCCUGGGACCGCGGAAGAGGCUUCAGACGCUGCAGCGAUGCCUCGCCCACGGCGGGUCAGUCAGCUCCUGGAUCUUGAUGCUUAGGAAAGAUUUUAUAUCAUUAAAAAGAAAUUGGGAGGUCACUUCCAAGAUGGCUAAAUGGGAACAGCUCCAGUCUGCAGCUCCCAGCAAGAUUGACGCAGAAGAUGGGCGAUUUCUGCAUUUCCAACUGAGAUGCUACUGGACUUGAAUGGUUAAUAAAAUUGCACAAUGUUGUUGGUGGCAGUGACUUCUUUCUGUUCAGAUUUUACAUCCUGAAGUCCAAACUCUAGAUCUACGGAGCUGCGAUAUAUCAGAUGCUGCUCUCCUGCACCUGUCUAACUGUAGAAAACUGAAGAAAUUAAAUUUAAAUGCUUCAAAAGGGAACCGAGUUUCUGUAACUUCAGAAGGAAUAAAAGCUGUGGCUUCAUCUUGUUCAUACCUACACGAAGCUUCUUUGAAAAGAUGCUGCAAUCUCACUGACGAAGGAGUCGUUGCUCUUGCACUCAAUUGCCAGCUGCUAAAGAUCAUCGAUUUAGGUGGCUGCUUAAGUAUUACUGAUGUGUCCUUACAUGCAUUAGGAAAAAACUGCCCAUUUUUGCAGUGUGUCGACUUUUCAGCUACUCAGGUAUCUGACAGUGGUGUGAUUGCACUUGUUAGUGGACCUUGUGCGAAGAAAUUAGAGGAGAUUCAUAUGGGACAUUGUGUAAAUCUGACUGAUGGGGCUGUCGAAGCUGUCCUUACUUACUGUCCUCAAAUACGUAUAUUACUCUUCCAUGGAUGCCCCUUGAUAACAGGGUAACACUGGCCUCACAGAAAGAGUUGGAAAGUGUUUCCCCCUUCUUCUAUAGCCACCCAGCUUUGUCAUGGUUGCCAUUUAAAUGAUCAUUCCCGAGAAGUGUUGGAGCAAUUAGUAGGCCCAAACAAACUAAAGCAAGUGACAUGGACUGUUUAUUGAUGCUUUUUUGAAGAUGAUCAAUGCUAGGAAAGCUUAUCAAAACUACUUUCCCAGGAAACCAUCUAUAGAGAUUUGCAUUCUACUUAAUGUUAACACUAUUUUUAAUUAUUUUAUUGUCUUAAGUUAUAACUCUCAGAGAAUUAGCUAAGUCUUGGUAUAUACAUGGUUUGUGCUUUACUCUUAAACAUCUUUAAAGUGCUAUUAUUCUAUAUCUGUUGGAUGAGUCAUUAUUUUUGAAAUGAUAAUCCUAGCAUGAACUCUGAUCUAUGGUGUUGGAUUCUGUUUCUUAAAUAACUUUAAAAUUAACUGUUUUCCCUUGAGAUUUCCUUCUCCUAUGUAGGUAUUUGAGCUAUUGUUCUAAGUUUACCUGUAAGUAUAAACCUUGGGAGAAUCUAAGUAAACAUAUUUCUAAAAGCAUAGUUACCUUCCUAUUUUCUGGCUCUUACCUUCUUGGAGUAUUUAAAUGCCCAUUUGCCAAAAGCAGACCUGAACAUCAAGCCUGUUAAUUCUUCAAAGAAUUUAGGUAUUUGUUUCACCGAAAUGAAGUGACUUAUUAGCCAUUCAGCGUAUUAGUAUUACAGAGGCUCUUGCCCAGCCACAUCCAUUCAUUGAUUUUUAUGGCUACUCUUCCCAGUUACAUUUUAUGCAUCUGUAAGCUUUCCUUCCUUAGCAAAAUUGCAUUCAAAAAUGUGUAAAAAUGAGUAAAUACAGAAUAUCACUACAGAGACUUGUAUCCUCAGGUUUAUUGAUUUCACAUUGUGAAAUAAACAGCAAAGGUCUUAGUUUUCAAGUGAAAACUUUUUGGUAAUCACAAAAUUACCUGACACAUACCACGCUUAAACCAACCCCCAAAUUUAGCAUAUUCAUUUUGCCAUGAGCCAGUCUUGAGAUUUUCUUAAAAGAUUUCUUAUUUUGCCUCUGAUGUAGUGAAAAACGGGGUAAGUAUGCUAACUUUCUUGUAUAUGUUGGGGGGUACUUAUUCAACUCCAUUUCUUGUCCUUACAAGAUUUAUAAAUGUGGUAUGUUUAUAGUGUGGAUAUAUAUGUUGCCACUGCAAAGGUGGUGCAUAUGUAUAUAUGUGCAAAAUGGGUAAGGCCUGUUCUAACUAUGAAAUUUUUCUAAAGACAAAUUCAAUAAAAUUUAAUACUGAAUAUUUAACCAAGUCAA
rnacentral:lncRNA from 1 species